rnacentral:misc_RNA from 1 species
GAUGAAGAACGUAGUGAAAUGCGAUAAGUAAUGUGAAUUGCAGAAUUCAGUGAAUCAUCGAAUCUUUGAACGCACAUUGCGCCCGCCAGUAUUCUGGCGAGCAUGCCUGUUCGAGCGUCAUUUCAACCAUCAAGCCCCAGGCUUGUGUUGGAGCCCUGCGGCUGCCGCAGCCUCCCAAAACCAGUGGCGGGCUCGCUAUCACACCGAGUGCAGUAGUUUACUCUUCGCUCAGGGCGUGUGGCGGGUGCUAGCCGUGAAACCCCCAACUUCUCAAGGUUGACCUCGUAUCAGGUAGGAAUACCCGCUGAACUUAAGCAUAUCAAUAAGCGGAGGA